GUGUCAGCAGCCGCGGUAAUACGAAGGGGGCUAGCGUUGCUCGGAAUUACUGGGCGUAAAGGGCGCGUAGGCGGGUCGUCAAGUUGGGGGUGAAAGCCCGGGGCUCAACCUCGGAAUUGCCUUCAAAACUGGCGACCUAGAGUACGGGAGAGGUGUGUGGAACUCCGAGUGUAGAGGUGAAAUUCGUAGAUAUUCGGAAGAACACCAGUGGCGAAGGCGACACACUGGCCCGUUACUGACGCUGAGGCGCGAAAGCGUGGGGAGCAAACAGGAUUAGAUACCCUGGUAGUCC
rnacentral:rRNA from 1 species